rnacentral:snRNA from 1 species
GUGCUCACUUCAGCAGCACAUCUACUAAAACUGGAACAGUGCAGAAGAGAUGAACAUGAUCCCUGCACAAAAAUAUCAUGCCCAUUUGUGAUGCAUACCAUUGUUUU